GACGAACGCUGGCGGCGUGCUUAACACAUGCAAGUCGAACGGAAAGGCCCUGCUUUUGUGGGUUGCUCGAGUGGCGAACGGGUGAGUAACACGUGAGUAACCUGCCCUUGACUUUGGGAUAACUUCAGGAAACUGGGGCUAAUACCGGAUAGGAGCUCCUGCUGCAUGGUGGGGGUUGGAAAGUUUCGGCGGUUGGGGAUGGACUCGCGGCUUAUCAGCUUGUUGGUGGGGUAGUGGCUUACCAAGGCUUUGACGGGUAGCCGGCCUGAGAGGGUGACCGGCCACAUUGGGACUGAGAUACGGCACAGACUCCUACGGGAGGCAGCAGUGGGGAAUAUUGCACAAUGGGCGGAAGCCUGAUGCAGCAACGCCGCGUGCGGGAUGACGGCCUUCGGGUUGUAAACCGCUUUCGCCUGUGACGAAGCGUGAGUGACGGUAAUGGGUAAAGAAGCACCGGCUAACUACGUG
rnacentral:rRNA from 1 species